UUUAAGAUUUUAUUUAAAGUCUAAUCUGCUCACUGAAUUUUUAAAGAGCCGCAGUAUUUUAACUGUGCAAAGGUAGCAUAAUCAAUAGUUUUUUAAUUGAAAACUGGAAUGAAAGAUUGAAUGAUAAAUUAACUUUUUUAAUUUUAAAAAUUUAAUUUAAAUUUUAAGUUAAAAUUCUUAAAUAAAUUUAAAAGACGAGAAGACCCCAUAGAUUUUUAUUAAUAAAAAUAAUUAUUAUAAAAUAUUAUUUGAUUAAUUUAAUUGGGGUGAUUUUGUAAUAUAAAAAACUUAAUUUUAAAAAACCAUAGAUAAUUGAAUUUUUUUGAUCUAAAAUUUUUAAAUAAAAAAUUAAAUUACCUUGGGGAUAACAGCGUAAUAUUAUUUAAGAGUUCAUAUCUAUAAUAAUGAUUGCGACCUCGAUGUUGAAUUAAGAAAUUUAUUGGAGUAGAAAUUAAUAAUAAUUAGUCUGUUCGACUAUUAAAUUC
rnacentral:rRNA from 1 species